rnacentral:tRNA from 1 species
GCCGGGAUGGCGGAAUCGGUAGACGCACCCGACUUAAAAUCGGACGGUCUUUGACCAUACGGGUUCAAGUCCCGUUCUCGGCA